GUGGUAAUAUUUUUAGAUGAAAUAGAUUUUGAAAUUCUAUAUAGGUUAACAUUUAACCCUAUCGUG
rnacentral:tRNA from 1 species